AAAGAAGGUUUUGAAAGGAGGGAGAGAUUUGAAAUUAAAUAAGUGGGAGGAGAUGAAGAGACUAAUCCUAAGCAAAAAUUUAAAAGUUAAGAGUUGAAAAGAUCUGACCAAUGAGAUGCAAUCCAAUAGACAAGAAUGUCAUAUAGAAACCCAAUUUUCCCUUGGACUUUAGAAUCAAGCAAUAUAAAUACACAAAUAGCAAGAUGAAGAGCAAGGCAUCAAAUAA
rnacentral:lncRNA from 1 species